CUGCGCGCCGGCGGCUGACGGGGCAGAGCGCACGACGCCGCCUACGCGCGAGCUGCAACCUCCUACCGUCGCCGCCGCCAGCACAGGAGGGGGGCCAAGACGUCUCUCCAACGGGGGGCUAGCGCAGGACCGCGUCAGGCGUCCAAAAGAAGGAAGAUGCCUCGCGGCGACAGAGAAAGCGACUGGAGGGAAAAGGAGCAGUUCCGCAAACUGUUUAUUGGCGGCUUAAGCUUUGAAACAACAGAGGAAAGCUUGAGGAGUUACUAUGAACAAUGGGGAAAGCUUACAGACUGUGUGGUAAUGAGGGAUCCUGCAAGCAAAAGAUCAAGAGGAUUUGGUUUUGUAACAUUCUCCUCUAUGGCUGAAGUUGAUGCAGCCAUGGCCGCAAGACCUCACACAAUUGAUGGAAGGGUGGUUGAGCCUAAGAGAGCUGUGGCUAGAGAGGAAUCUGGAAAACCUGGUGCUCAUGUUACUGUGAAAAAACUAUUUGUUGGUGGUAUUAAAGAGGACACCGAGGAGCACCACCUUCGUGACUACUUUGAGGAAUAUGGAAAAAUUGACACCAUUGAAAUCAUUACUGACAGACAGUCUGGUAAAAAAAGAGGAUUUGGAUUUGUUACUUUUGAUGACCAUGAUCCUGUGGAUAAAAUUGUAUUGCAGAAGUAUCACACCAUCAAUGGCCAUAAUGCAGAAGUAAGGAAAGCUCUCUCUAGGCAGGAGAUGCAGGAAGUUCAAAAUUCUAGGAGUGGGAGAGGAGGGAACUUUGGAUUCGGUGAUGCACGUGGAGGUGGUGGCAACUUCGGUCCAGGACCUGGCAGCAAUUUCAGAGGGGGAGCCGGUAAGACAGAUGGAUAUGGCAGCGGCCGUGGAUUUGGUGACGGGUAUAACGGAUAUGGUGGAGGACCCGGAGGUGGCAACUUUGGUGGCAGUCCUGGUUACGGAGGAGGAAGAGGAGGAUAUGGUGGAGGAGGACCUGGAUAUGGCAACCAGGGUGGGGGCUAUGGAGGUGGUUAUGACAACUAUGGAGGAGGCAAUUAUGGAAGUGGAAACUAUAAUGAUUUUGGAAACUACAACCAACAACCUUCAAAUUACGGUCCAAUGAAGAGUGGAAAUUUUGGUGGCAGCAGGAACAUGGGGGGACCAUAUGGUGGAGGAAACUAUGGUCCAGGGGGUAGUGGAGGAAGUGGUGGAUAUGGAGGGAGGAGCCGUUACUGAGUUUGUGCAAGCAUACCAUGGCUAUGAUAUGAACCCUGGACAAGCAUAGACUGCUGCCACUGUACACUGCUACAGUUGAACAAAUGAGACCUGCAAGUGUCCAUUAGUAAAGCUUUGCAAGGGUUCCAUCCCUGGUGUUGGUAGUUAAAAUGGAAGGUGCCAUGCUGCAGGUAACUAAUGAAGAAGUGGUCAACCACAGAAACGCUUCAAGAAAUAAGAAAUUCUGUAUCAUCAGAAAAUAGUUGUUUUUGCUGCCUUCAUUAAAAAAUCUAGAGGUUAAAUGAAUACUGAUAAACCAUCACAAUUAGUACAGCUCCCUGUAAUUAUGGGUUUUUUUAAAAUUACAGAAAUAAUGUCUUGUAAAACUAUCGAAUAAAAUUCAGAUUGGUUAGGAGAAACAAAUCACUAAUGUUAAAAUAGCAAGCAUUCUGUGAGUAGAAAGUUUAACUACAUCUUUUUAUAACUUUCAUAGCUUUAAAAUAAAGUAUUUUUUUAUACCAAAGUAGUUCUAGUGUAAUGCUUAAUAAAACUUAGUGUGUGUCUAACAUAUUAAAAAAUGUUUACGUGCAGCUUUUAGACCCUUUCAUGAUUUGAAACAUUCCAUUUUGAGGUGGAUUUAAAACAGUCAACCUGAUGAGCGUAUUCACAGAAUUUGCAUGACUGUCGGCAUCUGUUCUCUGUUGGGAGAAGCAGUGCUAGAAAUUAAAAAUGCUGAUCUUUUUGCUGUUGGACACAAUUGCUUUAAAAUAGCUUUUUGGCCGUAUUUUAUAUCACUUUAUAAAAAUACCUCCAUUCCUCUUAAUGAAACUAACCACUUCAGAGAGUUUGUCAAAAUGUGAUAGGACAAUAGCUUUAUCCUUUUUACAUGUAAAGAGCUUUUAGCAUCAAGAGAAAAAGACUUGAGUGGAAUGUAGAGUUCCUACUGCACUAGAACUGUAUUACUGAUAGAAGCAUCCUGUGUGGGGGGAAAAAAACAAAAAAAAAAAAGGCAAAAAGAACCAAAAAUCCAAAGGAAAAACCAAACAAAAACCCGCCAAACCAAACUCCCAGGUGCGAAGCCUGGGAAAGCUUCAGUUGGGGAUGUAUUUGAGGGAAGAUAUCUUCUGUUUUAACCUGUUACCCGCAUACAGAGUUUAUUCUAAAAUUGUAUUUAUAUGCUUAGCUGUGGCAGAAUCCUAAUGUCUAUAACCUCCUUCAUGUAAUUGAGAAAUAAUAAUUAAGGGUUGACAAACAAUUUUUUUUUCCCUGUUUCUUAAGUUGAACUUUGAAAUAUUUGCAUAGGUAACCAGUGGGCUGCAGCGGAAGCAGAAAAUGAAGACACACAAAAUCUGCUUUACUUUCUUCUUUCCAACAGAAUGACUUGACCAGAUGAUAAGGAAUUUUCCUGCUUUCCUGUAACUUAGAUUUAGUUGAUGGAAGUUUUUCUUUACAGUUGCUAUGUCCACAUUCGUAUGACAUUAAAAGAAACAACUUCAAAGGGGAAUAAUUCUUCUCUUUUUCUGUUUGAACUACUUACCAAUCUUUCAGUAGUUUUGCAACAAGGUUUAAAGUGUGUUCUGUUUUCCAUAAUGAGGACGUCUUCAUUUUCAUAUACUGGCGAUGGCAGAAGGGAGCAUAUAGGGAAGAGCAGCAUGCAAAGAAGUUACUGGAUAUUGAAAGUCUUGAGAGAGUUGGAGUAUUUGAGUAAAUUCCCUUUUGUCUUACUUUUGAGCUUUCGUGACUUUCCUUUCUUGGUCUCUUCUUGAGAAUUAAAGCAAGUGACAAUCACAGCGUUCACUGAUGGAUUUGGUGACAAAAGUCACUAUUCUGAGUCAGCCUGAUACUGAAAGCUAGCAACUUUGAAUAAAAACAGCAGUGUGUGUUCAGUUCCUGGUCCUUGAUGGGUAGACAGAAUAUACUUUUCUAAGAAGUUUGGUUUAUAUUGCUCUACAAACUGUUUUCAAAGUAAGGAUAACCUUGUUGGUCAGUAUGUGUCAGUGUAAUGAGAACUGAAGAGCAGGUUUUGAGUCGCAGCCUUUCCCCAGCAAAUCCACAGCAAACUGGGGGAAGAAUGUGCAGAACAACCUAACAUUGGUAACUGCUAUGGGAGCAAAAGACCCCAAAAACCUACGUUGGAUGACUUGCAUUUACAAAGCAGUGAUGAGCAGGGGUCACAGAGUCUUGUGUUCUCUGUGCUGUUCAUAAUGAAAGUUGAAUUUUAUUUACUUCUAUUGCUUUGGCUGCUGAAAAGUGUUCAGGAAAACAUGAAAAAUUCUCUUAACAUUGGGAUUUAUAAUUAGCGGGAAUUUAACUUUGUCAUGUGUGGGGAAGAUGGCAUUCUUAUAGUUCUAUGAUGAAUGCACUUAGUGUCCUGGGGAUGAAAUCCUACUACUUCUGGGGAAGAAAAAAAAAAGCACAAAAAACCAUAAUUGUUAAGGAGCCAUCAGCUGACUGUUUUGGCAGCUUGACCACAUGUAUGAAGGAGGAUGGUUUGCUGAGAAUGUACUGGAACAGUACAUUCGCUGAAGCUUCAGCGUGCUGGUGUGUGUUAAAGCAGCGUGUGAUGGAAGUGCAAUCCCAUGGUAGUGCUGUGGGGUUGUUUUUCUUCAAAAGGGAGACCCCAGCUUCUUGUGUGGUUCACACAGCAGUACUGGUAGGAGUGCACUGGCGUGUGACGUGGAAGGGCUUUCCUGGGUAACAUCAGCCUGUUCUGCCAGGAGCCAUACUGUCCUGUUCAGCAGUUGGGUGCUUGCUUUGCACAGCAGCAGAACUUCCAGAGUUUCCAGAGUUGCUCUAAGUCACUCCAGUCAAUAGAGCAAGGAUGGUUUAUCAACAGUAAAAGCAGGCAGUGUUUAGCUGGAAAUGGCUGCCCGGUGCCUGACAAGGUGUUCUGAACCCACUAGGUGGGGACUGAGUAGUCUACAAAGUGCUGUGUGCAACGUCCUUUAUCACUUCAUUGCAUGACCAAAGGGACUAUGGGCAAGUCUUAGAAAAUUGCUGUUCCCCCUCAGUGCUUUGCAACACAUGUUUCUUGCCCUUCUCAAUUUGAUCUUUUCUUGGUCUGUUGCGGGGCAUUCUACGAAAAUGAGUGACUGAUGCGUUUCCUGGAGUUGUGGUAGCUGUGUAGCAAGUAUUGAGUGCUUUUCACAUGGGUACGCGUGUCAGCUUUGAGUUAUUUAAUAAAUUUUCACCAGAACCUUGUGCCAAGUGUCCUGUUGCCUCAUUUACAGACCUUCACCUACUCAGUCUUCAAGCUCCUUGUUGGAACCAUACUUGUUGACACCCUUAAGAUACAAAUGUAGUGUUUGUAUUUGCAGACAAAUAAUGAGCUGUUAAAACCGAUAUGGAUGAAGUUGCUUUGUCCUCUUUAAAGACGGUUACUCCAGUUACCUCAUCUAAAACUAGAUUGUAAGCUCUCGAGCAGGAACAGUCUUGUAACAUUUAGCUUCUGUAAAAAGCCAAGUCUGUGUGAAUAAAACCAAAAGAUGAGGCUAAAGUAGCACCUCAGUGCAGUACUGGUAGUGGUCAUUCACAGUGUGUAUGCUGUGCCGUUUCUCUGAAGGCUUAUUUCCUGGGUGUUCAGCAUUGAAUAUCAUAAUCAUGGGUCUUGCAUUCUAAUAAAAUCCUAAACUUGGGUUUAUUUUCCACGAAUGCUUCUCGAGGUUUGAAUCUGAGCAGUGAGCAGCUGAUGCUGCUGUGUAGUGCCUGUGUGUGUUGCUACCUCCAGUAACUGGAAAGUAACCUGUGUGCUUUGUGUUUUCUCCAUCAUCCAGUGUUCUUCCUGUGUACUUACUCAACAUGACCUUAACUUCUCACAUACAACCUCUUUUCAUUAUUAAUGUAACAAGUUAUCACUCCAAGGUUAUGUAGCUAAGUAGCUCUACUAUGGAAAUCAUAUUUUUCGUGGGAAUUCCCACAUUGGCGUUUCCAUUGUUUCUUGAAGUAUCAGCAGGUUCAUCUACAAUCUUCACCUUUGCAGUUUUCUGGCACUGCAACAAUUUUUUCAAGAGGGUUUUUUGUGUUCCUACUUCAUUCAGAGAGCCGUCUUUCUCCAUGUCAGUAUUCAGUAAGGUAGGAUGUUCUGAAUUCUAUGUAGUUUUGUCUUUUUUUGUGGGUAGGUAGCUGAAGGUUUGAGAAAAUGAUAUAAUGCAUCCAGGCCCAAUGUUGUGUGUGUGUCAGGAGCACUUCUACAGUCCACCCAAAAGUAAUAAUUCACUGGAGAGGUUUUGUGGGGCGGUGAAACAACUGAGUGUUCAUACAUUGUUCAUAAUGCUUCUUGGAGAAGCAGUUGGAACGUUUGCUGGAUUUACAGGAGUCCACAGAGCUCAUGCUACUGAUGUGUGUGUGUCAUUUAGGUUUUUUGUUUAUUGGAUUGGGGUUUUUUUUCCUCCCCACAUAGGCAUGUACAAACUUGUGAAGCCCCAAAAAUGAAAUAUUUGGGCUUAUAGUUGGUAAGUUACCAGAAUUUGCUCAUGACCCCUGAAGUAGACUUAAAAGACCUGGUGCUGCAAAGGCUACAUGCCUAGACUUCCAGUGCUUACUAUGUCAUUUAAUUAAAAGAUGACAAUUUUGCUGAUACAAAUGUGUUAUUCCUUUUUUUUCCUGGAUCUAUAAAUAAAGUUCACAGUUCCAUCAGUUGCCUGUUGCAUGUUUUGGUUGAAGUUCAUUAAUUAGCAAUUAAAUAACCACCUUACUGUCAGGUAUGUUUAACCAACAGCAAGACAUUUCAGGGCCUCAUGAAUAAAGUUUCCACUGUGAAUUUACCCUAUCAAUUUGAGGCUGUGGCAAGACAUAAGUAAAAGGACAGACGCGCACAUCUAUGUAAAGAAAUCUUUUAAUAUAAAAUGCAGAGCAAAUUGUUCAAACUGGCUGAUUUUGUUAUUGGUAAUUCAGUGCAUCUGAGGUACUGCCCUCUUCUUAGAAAUUACCAGUUACUGUAAACACAAGUGCAAACAAUCAUGAUUUAUCCACCAGUGGCACAGUUUAUCAUCAAGAGGUGUAAUUUAGCAUUUAAACUUGCAUUGUGUGUAUGUGUAGUUUUUUGUGUAUUGCAAAUGAUUUUUUUUACAUACCUGACCAUGAAGUUGCUACAAUGUCAUGCCAUGACCAAUGAGUUUUGUGGUGUUUUAUGUGUUUUGUUUGUAAAAAAUACAUAAAGUAUUUGUUGCUCUUCGGUUGAUAUUUGUAGUUACUUUAAUAUCUUACAAACUAGCAUACCUCUUAAUAUUCCUUCCUUAUUAUUCAGGCAGUCUUUUUUGCAGACCCUUUUCAGGUUGUAAAACGGAGAAGGAUAAGCUGCUGUGUAUAAGCAUGUGAGUGAAUAAAAGGUCUUCUGUUUCGCAGCACAAAUGUGAAACUAAAAGCUCUUUUCUUCAUUCAAAGCCAUUAUCACAAUGUAACCUCAUUAUCACAAGUACAUACAAAGAGUCAUUUGAUUCAAUUUAAUUUAAAGAUUUGGGACAAUUUAAAAAAAAAAAUCCCUAAGGUAAGAUAAUAUUGAAACCUAAUUUCUCAGGACCUAGUUGCAGAUGGACCACAAGAGUAGUAAAAGUAGGUGGUACGUUAUGUGCACUUGGAGCUAUGAAGUUGAAAGUAAUGGAAAAAUGCAAUAGCCUCCUGGGCUUCUCAAGACUAGGAAAAGGAGAACGGUUCUGAACAAAUGCAAAGCACACAGUAUCUCUUAGGAAUAUGUAAAUACACAGUGACUUUAAGCUGAACUUGAGCUACAAUUUUUCCUGCAGUGCUGAAAAAGAAUUAAGAUAAAGUUACGUUGUGUAUGAUGAAUCAAGUACUCAAAGCACAUUUUUCUUCCACCUCUAAUCUGGUGUUUUUUCUCAUGCUGAUGUCCCGACUCCCUCGUUACCAGAAACUCGGUUCCUAGUUUUACAUAGGUCUAUAUUAACUACACUUACACUGAUGGCCUAGUCCCUUUAAUUAAAACUAAACACAUUUCUUACCUUCAGAAGCCUCAGCUGGUAGCCUGUCUAACAUCACAGUUGCAUAGGCUUGCCAGACCCUGGAACAUAGCCUUCCCUCUCAAAUGUCAUCUGUACUACUGCAGUCAUUGACCUCCAGUCUUCGUAUAAAUACCUUUAUCAUUCUUCAGGAGAAAUAAAACCUAAGUGAUCUUCAGUCACUUUUGUUUCUGCUCUUUUUCAUUGUCUUGUUUCUGUUCUGAUUUGACCAAGUCUUUGGGUAUUAUGAAAAUACUACCAUUGUCAUUGCAAUGAAUGACAUAUUGACAAGGGUCAACAGGUCUACCUUGGCCAUCCCUCAAUCUACUGAGAAUGUCACUGUACAGGUUAUUUAACUUUUGCUGUAUCUGGUUGAUUGACAUGCCACACAGAGUACUCCUUUUUUAGACUCUCCUUUUGUGUUUGAAGAUUACACACUUCUUCCAAGAACUGCACUCAGUCUGCAUUUACGACAUUUUUUUUGCAGCGUUAUUUUGUCUUUGUCUGAUGUCACAUAGAAGAGCUACCUGAGUAGCUGUCAGAUGGCUCUUUCCUAGCAUGGUGUUGAAAGAGUCAACAGGCAUGCUCCCAAUUUCAUCAACUGAAGAUGGUAUUCUUGGGGUUUUUGCAUAGUGUUCAUCACUGCUAAGGUUUGUAUCUGUACAAUUAUGGCACCCACCCUGUUCUUUGUUUUUUUCAUCCAAGUCUGUUGAUGAUGCUCUGGAGUGCAUGCUGCUUGAUUUGGCAGUUGAUUAUAAGCACAGUUAUAAAGAAACUGAUGAAUCAUGGCUUCUCUAGAACAUUCUGAAUCACCUGGAUAUUCCUCAUGCACACAUGUAGUUGUGUGUUCUUUGUCAACAACAGCUCCUCAGCCAUGUGCCAGCACAGAUUCAACAUCACUGUUGUACCCAACAGCACCUUCACUGCACACUGAGUAAGAGGUAGUGGUGCUGUGACUUGAAUUGAAAGACGGUCCUGAAUCUGAGGUGGGUUCUUCAAAGAGAUGAGAAACUCCUGUAGGAUCAAAGCCACCUUCCAAAGACAAAGACUCGAGUUUCUUUUCAUCAAAACUAUGGUCAGGGGAUUGUCAGGUUUCUAAUGUCAGCAGCUGAAAACAGCCCUGUCAAAUUUGACCCAUGAAGCAGUGAUUCCAGAUUUGUGAUACUAGAGCUUGAUUGAGGAAAAGACUCUUGCUUUUGUAAAUGUAGUUUCUGAAUUUGAUUGAGUGGGGUACUCUGUUCUUACUAGAGUGGCAUCCUGAAGACUGAAACAGUUGCAAAGUGUCUGGGUCAAAUUUACAUUGGGGUGGGAGGAUGGUGGUUCUUGGUCUCUACUAGAAGUAGCAAUUUGUCUGCUUUCCAGUAAACUCACCUAAAAGAUGAUGGAAAAAUGGAUAAAAUUAAUGACUCUUGAUCAAUUUGAUUUUUAAAAUUCCAUUAUUUUACUCUAUUAGAGUAAAAACUUUACAUUAAACUCUUCUAGCUAUCUCGAAUACUGUUCCCCAUUUGUACAGAGCAUGACAUGUGUUGGCAUGUGGCAAGAGGAAGUGGGAAGGGUAUAGAAGAAAUGUGACUGAAGUGAUGGGAAGAAGAGGACUUGCAAAGGACAGUGUGGGACUGACAACCAUUGAGAGGUAGAAUUGGGACUGUUGCUACGUGUGCAUCAAACUACAACGUGUUUAUAUCUGAUCCAAUCUACGAAAAGGUCCUUUGGGAAGGAGUGGUCCUGGCCCUUCCUUGGUAGUGGUAUUGAUGAUCGCCUGAUUCCAGGAUGAGCUGGUUCAAAGUGCUAGAAAAUUAACCUUGUAAAAGAAGAUAAAUAGCUCACCUGCAGGAGUUAACCAGUGAGAACAGUGGUGUAAGGACAGGAAUGUUAAGAUCAUGCUGUCACAAUGUCACUACUUUUUUUUUCAUAGUUUUAAAUAAAGAUUUUGGGGCUAUCAGCUGCCACAUCUGGCUUAGCUCCUUAACUGAA